rnacentral:rRNA from 1 species
GAUGAACGCUAGCGGCAGGCUUAAUACAUGCAAGUCGAGGGACAGCACAGGUAGCAAUACUGGGUGGUAACCGGCAAGCGGGUGCGGAACACGUACACAACCUUCCUUUAAGUGGGGGAUAGCCCAGAGAAAUUUGGAUUAAUACCCCGUAAUACAGUUGAAUGGCAUCAUUUGAUUAUUAUAGCUACGGCGCUUAAUGAUGGGUGUGCGGCUGAUUAGAUAGUUGGCGGGGUAACGGCCCACCAAGUCUACGAUCAGUAGCUGAUGUGAGAGCAUGAUCGGCCACACGGGCACUGAGACACGGCCCAGACUCCUACGGGAGGCAGCAGUGGGGAAUAUUGGACAAUGGGGGCAACCCUGAUCCAGCGAUGCCGCGUGUGUGAAGAAGGCCUGCGGGUUGUAAAGCACUUUCGGUGGGGAGGAGGAGUUAUAGGUUAAGAGCUAAUGACUUGGACGUUACCCACAUAAGAAGCACCGGCUAACUCCGUGCCAGCAGCCGCGGUAAAAC